ACAGUGGACGCGAGCAUCUGUGGCCAAGUUUUUAAGGGCGCACGGUGGAUGCCUUGGCACCAGGAACCGAUGAAGGACGUGGGAGGCCGCGAUAGUCCCCGGGGAGUCGUCAACCAGGCUUUGAUCCGGGGGUUUCCGAAUGGGGAAACCCGGCAGUCGUCAUGGGCUGUCACCCACUGCUGAACACAUAGGCAGUGUGGAGGGAACGCGGGGAAGUGAAACAUCUCAGUACCCGCAGGAAGAGAAAACAACCGUGAUUCCGGGAGUAGUGGCGAGCGAAACCGGAUGAGGCCAAACCUACGACGUGUGAGACCCGGCAGGGGUUGCGUCGUGGGGGUUGUGGGAUCUCUCUUUCACAGUCUGCCGGCUGUGAGACGAGUCAGAAACCGUUGAUGUAGGCGAAGGACAUGCGAAAGGUCCGGCGUAGAGGGUAAGACCCCCGUAGUCGAAACGUCAGCGGCUCGUUUGAGAGACACCCAAGUAGCACGGGGCCCGAGAAAUCCCGUGUGAAUCUGGCGGGACCACCCGCUAAGCCUAAAUAUUCCCUGGUGACCGAUAGCGGAUAGUACCGUGAGGGAAUGGUGAAAAGUACCCCGGGAGGGGAGUGAAAUAGUACCUGAAACCGUGUGCCUACAAGCCGUGGGAGCGUCGGAAUGGAGCUUGCUCCAUUCUCGUGACUGCGUGCCUUUUGAAGAAUGAGCCUGCGAGUUUGCGGUGUGUUGCGAGGUUAACCCGGGUGGGGUAGCCGUAGCGAAAGCGAGUCCGAAUAGGGCGUUUCAGUAGCACGCUCAAGACCCGAAGCGGAGUGAUCUAGCCAUGGGCAGGUUGAAGCGGAGGUAAGACUUCGUGGAGGACCGAACCCACCAGGGUUGAAAACCUGGGGGAUGACCUGUGGUUAGGGGUGAAAGGCCAAUCAAACUCCGUGAUAGCUGGUUCUCCCCGAAAUGCAUUUAGGUGCAGCGUCGUGUGUUUCUUGCCGGAGGUAGAGCACUGGAUAGGCGAUGGGCCCUACCGGGUUACUGACCUUAGCCAAACUCCGAAUGCCGGUAAGUGAGAGCGCGGCAGUGAGACUGUGGGGGAUAAGCUCCAUGGUCGAGAGGGAAACAGCCCAGAGCAUCGACUAAGGCCCCUAAGCGUACGCUAAGUGGGAAAGGAUGUGGAGUCGCACAGACAACCAGGAGGUUGGCUUAGAAGCAGCCACCCUUGAAAGAGUGCGUAAUAGCUCACUGGUCUAGUGAUUCCGCGCCGACAAUGUAGCGGGGCUCAAGCGUACCGCCGAAGUCGUGUCAUUGACACAUAUAGCCCCAACGGGUGUGUUGAUGGGUAGGGGAGCGUCGUCUGCCGGGUGAAGCAGCACCGGAAGGUAGUUGUGGACGGUUGACGAGUGAGAAUGCAGGCAUGAGUAGCGAUACAAACGUGAGAAAACGUUUGCGCCGAUUGACUAAGGGUUCCUGGGUCAAGCUGAUCUGCCCAGGGUAAGUCGGGACCUAAGGCGAGGCCGACAGGCGUAGUCGAUGGAUAACCGGUUGAUAUUCCGGUACCCGCUGUGAAGCGUCAAACAUCGAAUCCAGUGAUGCUAAGCCCGUGAAGCCGCCCCUGAUCUCUUCGGAGUGAGGGGGAGUGGUGGAGCCGGUGACCCGAGCUGGUAGUAGGUGAGUGAUGGGGUGACGCAGGAAGGUAGUCCAUCCCGGGCGGUGGUUGUCCCGGGGUAAGGGUGUAGGACGCAGGGUAGGCAAAUCCGCCCUGCACAUAGUCUGAGACCUGAUGCCGAGCCGAUUGUGGUGAAGUGGAUGAUCCUAUGCUGUCGAGAAAAGCCUCUAGCGAGUUUCAUGGCGGCCCGUACCCUAAACCGACUCAGGUGGUCAGGUAGAGAAUACCGAGGCGUUCGGGUGAACUAUGGUUAAGGAACUCGGCAAAAUGCCCCCGUAACUUCGGGAGAAGGGGGCCAUUCCUGGUGACCGGCUUUGCGCCGUGAGCUGGGGGUGGCCGCAGAGACCAGCGAGAAGCGACUGUUUACUAAAAACACAGGUCCGUGCGAAGCCGUAAGGCGAUGUAUACGGACUGACGCCUGCCCGGUGCUGGAACGUUAAGGGGACCGGUUAGUGACCUUUCGGGGUUUGCGAAGCUGAGAACUUAAGCGCCAGUAAACGGCGGUGGUAACUAUAACCAUCCUAAGGUAGCGAAAUUCCUUGUCGGGUAAGUUCCGACCUGCACGAAUGGCGUAACGACUUCUCGACUGUCUCAACCAUAGGCCCGGUGAAAUUGCACUACGAGUAAAGAUGCUCGUUUCGCGCAGCAGGACGGAAAGA
rnacentral:rRNA from 1 species